rnacentral:misc_RNA from 1 species
AAGAGUUAGGGUCUUUUAGGCUCGAUCUCCCAACCCUAUGUUUAUUUAAACCACUGUUGCUUCGGCGGGCCCGUCUUCAUUGACCGCCGGGGGACCGUCAAAACGUCCUCUGGUCCGUGCCCGUCGGUGGCCAAACAUUACAAAUUCUUAAUUAAACGUGUCAUUAUCUGAAUACCAUAUUAAAUAAAGUAA